UACGAAGGGGGCUAGCGUUGCUCGGAAUGACUGGGCGUAAAGGGCGCGUAGGCGGCUUGCACCGUCAGACUGUGAAAUUCCUGGGCUUAACCUGGGGGCUGCAUUUGAUACGUGUGGGCUUAGUGCGGAAGAGGGUCGUGGGAAUUCCCGAGUGUAGGAGGUGAAAUUCGUAGAUAUUGGGAAGAACACCGGUGGCGAAGGCGGCGACCUGGUCCGUGACUG
rnacentral:rRNA from 1 species